rnacentral:misc_RNA from 1 species
CCGAGUUUACAACUCCCAAACCCCUGUGAACAUACCUACUUGUUGCCUCGGCGGAUCAGCCCGCGCCCCGUAAAACGGGACGGCCCGCCAGAGGACCCCUAAACUCUGUUUCUAUAUGUAACUUCUGAGUAAAACCAUAAAUAAAUCA